AGUGAACGCUGGCGGUAGGCCUAACACAUGCAAGUCGAACGGCAGCACAGUAAGAGCUUGCUCUUACGGGUGGCGAGUGGCGGACGGGUGAGGAAUACAUCGGAAUCUACUUUUUCGUGGGGGAUAACGUAGGGAAACUUACGCUAAUACCGCAUACGACCUACGGGUGAAAGCAGGGGAUCUUCGGACCUUGCUCGAUUGAAUGAGCCGAUGUCGGAUUAGCUAGUUGGCGGGGUAAAGGCCCACCAAGGCGACGAUCCGUAGCUGGUCUGAGAGGAGGAUCAGCCACACUGGAACUGAGACACGGUCCAGACUCCUACGGGAGGCAGCAGUGGGGAAUAUUGGACAAUGGGCGCAAGCCUGAUCCAGCCAUACCGCGUGGGUGAAGAAGGCCUUCGGGUUGUAAAGCCCUUUUGUUGGGAAAGAAAAGCAGCAGGUUAAUACCCCGCUGUUCUGACGGUACCCAAAGAAUAAGCACCGGCUAACUUCGUG
rnacentral:rRNA from 1 species